rnacentral:lncRNA from 1 species
GACAUGAAGGAGUGUGACGACCCAUGUCAUUAUUAUUAUAGAUAAUGACACUAGUCCUUGAAUUAUUUCUUGACAAAAUCUUGUUUGUCAAAUAAUAAUUCAUGUCAGAGAUUUGCAACAGGGAAUAGCUAGAGAUGGUAAUUUAUAUUACAAUACCAUGCCACGCAGGGCUAAAAGUCUCAGGUAGGCUUCUCACUUGUUCACCAAAUUAUUACAUCUCCUAACACUGGAGUUCCAACUAGCAGUACCAAAUAGGUGGUGAUAAAAAUAGUUCCUGGAUUACAUAGCUAGAUGAUAGUUACUUAUUCAUCCCAACCCCCAUAUGUGGCAUCCAGAUCGUACAUAGCACUAGAUGGAUCCACAUCUAGGUCCCCUGUGUAGUUGUAGCCAUCACCAUUGCUCUCCUCACUUGGUCCAGUAGAAUUCUCAUACAAGCUUUGCUCUAAGAAAAAGAUGAUUAAUAGCAAGGGUGAGUACAAAGUACUCAGCAAGCUCAAAUAGCAAAAUGCAACACUCAUGAUAGCUCAAUAUAAAUCAACAAGUCCUACCUCAACUCAACACCUUUCAAAGUAAACAUUUGUUGCAGAAGUUCAUUUCAAUUUAUAAAAGCUAUCAAACACUCAUACUACGAGAUAGACCACCAAUAGGUCCCCGUAGCCCCCAAUCCAAGAGACUGGCAUGAAUUCAUGUUUUACUUUAACUCUGCAGAGUUCGUAUCACUUUACCCAUAGAGCUCGAAACCAUAAUUGCCAUCUGCAUUUCCUUAGAUGCGAGACAUGGUUCAGAACAUAAAGCUUUUUCCCAUUGUGUAUAUUAUAUCUCCACCCGGCUAGUGUCACUAGCCGUUGUAUCAGGUUUCGGAACCCGCACUCCACCAACACUUAAUAUAUAACGCUUGCUAAUGCACCCAUCCGGCAUUAGCGUGGGAACUCAUCGCCCAUCCUACUACUACUUACCCAUGUGGAGAGUAUAAUAACUUGAUGGUAUUGGGCUCAACUCGUCUUCGACGAGACCAUGGUUGAUACGGUUGUAGUACGGCGCAUAAAACGAAUGAAAGUUAUUUAAUCUUAAUAUACUAGCCAUAUGUAGAGGGCCCCACCUUCCAGUAUGUAGUAUGUCCAUCCAGGGCACCCUCUACCCACCAAAUAAUUAUAAAAAAAAUAAAUAAAUCAAUCAAUUAGCUGCUCCAUCAGCUAACCCAACUCUUUGUCAACAGUCACUCCACACAAUUUAUUACCAAAACAUUUUAUGCAAGUUGAUAAUAAGAUAGUAGUGAAUAGUGUUUUUGGAAAAAUAUUUCUACUCAGCAUGAUCGAGGAGAGCUUGCCUGAGUUAUCGUAUUCAGCCCCGAACUCAGUUUGCUUUUGUAGCGCCUCCUUCUCCUGACUAUACUCGCUUCCUGCAGUUCGGCAAAUAUAUACCGAGACUAAGUCGAGUGAAUAACUAAAGAAUAAAAUACGCCGGUGCAGUGUGAUCAUCCUACGGUCACCAAGGUUUAAACUUGUAAAAUUAUUAUACCAGAUAUUUGAUAUGUAUCAGUGUAGUGUGUACUGGGUAGCUAGCAUUAUUGAGAUGGCAUCUAACUAGCUAAUUAGUACUAAUAUCCUGAGAGUGUACGUGACAUUUCAGCUUAAGCUAAGUGACUCUUUCUCUCUCUCCUAGUACUAGUACUAGUACUCAAGUAUUAGUUGUGAAGCGAACGAGCACAUAAGUUGCAGCACACAAGUCGCUGAUGCCCUCCUCUGGUUCCUCUGCUCCUUGUCCAGAUCGAUCCUGCCGCCAGCGAUGGAAAGAUGCUGCUCCGCCGCUGCCUGAUCUUCCGCUCUCUCUCUCCCCCCUGGUCCAAAUCCCUAAUUUUUCCCCAAGGAUUCAACCCCAAACUUUCUAAUCCCCUCUCAGAUUUGUCGUGCAGGUUAUGUUCUUGUUGGGGCUGCUCUUCCUCUGCUGCUCCAGAUUGAACUCGCCGGCGCUGAUGACCGCGGUGCCGCUGGGUGGUGCAGGUUAACGCUCAAGUGUGCAGCCAUGGAGCAGAUCGAGCAUAUGUGCAGGUUAGUGAUGCCCUUGUUCCUCUCCCUAUUUUUUUAUGCUCAAGUUCUCAGAUCUAGUAAAUUAAUUUAGUCUCAUGUGCAUGUGUGUGUACUGAACCAGUUCCUCCUGUGCAAGAUGUUUGUGUAGUGAUGCUGUACAAAUACCUUGCUUCAUUUUAUUUUACUUAUUUGAGGCUGUAUCCCCUUUCUUUCUUAUACUGUUACUUCCAAAAACAGAGAUAGAUGUUCUUGCUGUGAUUUGUGUGCACGUAUGGAUCACUGGGAUACUUUUGUAUGUGCAUCUGGGCUGGCUUCUUUGUGCUUGUGAAUACUAAAGAAAUGGCAGAAGAAGAAGAGCUCACCUUUCUUCUCUUGCUCCCUCUGUUGGUCCUACUAGUGUUGCUCCUACCUCCAGACCCCAGUCCAGUAGGCUAGCUUCUUGCUCUAGCCUGUCCCCUUCGAUCUCCAAUAUUGCUCAGGUCACCAUCUUCACUUAUUGCUCUUGGAUUCUUGUUGGUUGUAGGUAGAGAGAUGAAGACGGUGGGGAAGACAAGCUGUUGGUUUGGCUAUUUGGAAGAAUGGAGAUGAGUGAGGUCUUGGCAAUGGCUUGCCCUGCUCUCUCCCCUCUUAAUAUCAGAAAUCCAUCUCCCCUGGCUGGUAUGGCAGCCCAUUCCCUUCUCCAUUGUUCUCACAGGUGCUAGCUUCUAAUUGGCUGAAGGUUGAAGCCCAUACAUAGACUAUACUAUUGACCAAUUGACUAUUAAUAUAUUGUGCACGUGAGAGUGGUGGUUAGUGUGUCUCAACUGUGUCCUGUUGUCCUAGUUGACUCAAAGAUAUUUUGUGUUGGUCUAAGUUUGGUGUGGCAUUGCUGUAUAGAUUAGCAUAGUAUGGUCUCCCUAUACUUUUGUCCAAAGAUUUGUAAUACACUUGUACAACUGUACUGUUUGAGGUGUGUGAAUAUAAAUAUAUAUUUGAGUGGUUAUGCUGGUUGAAGAAAUCUGAAAUGUAUUUUCUUAAUUUAUUCUACUUAAUUAUCUAAUUAAGGUGGAAUUACUAUGUGAAAAUAUACGGAUCGUUACAAGGAGCCACUGCGUGAGCUAGUUACAUCACGAUUUGGACCAUGUUCCCAACCUGCAUGCGUUACAUUGGUUAGCUGUCAGCAGCCACAUGUUUACGUGGUUGACAUCAACAAAAACUUCAAAUUUUUGUGGACGUUCUAUAUCACAUGGCAAGCACAAUGGUAGCACCACACACACAUUUCUCCCUGCGCACGUGUGGGAUUUCCCCCUAAUAACUAGCAUGUUUGGUGAAAUGUGUGAAGUCCUGCUACAACCAACAGAGAAGGAAAAACGCUACUGAACCUCAAUUUGAGAUAAAUGGAACCAAUUUAGCCCAUACUAUGUCACCACCCAUUUCUUUUAUAAGAUCGUCGUGUGUGCGUGCGUGUGGUGCUUGUGUGUGUGUUCAGUGUGCUCGUGCCAUGGGUAUGUCUUUUUCUUUAUUUUUUGAAUAAAUCAGAAGUUCAUACAUACAAAAAAUCAAAGUCCAAAUAUCUUCGGUAUAUGUUCUGAAAAAGCUCGGCAGUUAUUUCACCAUCUCUAAAAAACAAAAAAAAAA